GACGAACGCUGGCGGCGUGCCUAAUACAUGCAAGUCGAACGAGAGCAACCGGUGCUUGCACUGGUCAAUCUAGUGGCGAACGGGUGAGUAACACGUGGGUAACCUGCCCAUCAGAGGGGGAUAACAUCCGGAAACGGAUGCUAAAACCGCAUAGGUCUUCGAACCGCAGGGUUUGAAGAGGAAAAGAGGCGCAAGCUUCUGCUGAUGGAUGGUCUCGGGGUGCAUUAGCUAGUUGGUGGGGUAACGGCUCACCAGGGCCGUGAUGCGUAGCCGACCUGAGAGGGUGAUCGGCCACAUUGGGACUGAGACACGGCCCAAACUCCUACGGGAGGCAGCAGUAGGGAAUCUUCCGCAAUGGACGCAAGUCUGACGGAGCAACGCCGCGUGGGUGAAGAAGGUUUUCGGAUCGUAAAACUCUGUUGUUAGAGAAGAACAAGUGCUGGAGUAACUGUUAGCGCCUUGACGGUAUCUAACCAGAAAGCCACGGCUAACUACGUG
rnacentral:rRNA from 1 species